rnacentral:rRNA from 1 species
ACAUACGACCACAGGGUGUGGAAAACAGGGCUUCCCGUCCGCUCAGCCGUACUUAAGCCACACGCCGGGAGGUUAGUAGUUGGGUGG